rnacentral:rRNA from 1 species
ACAGAGGGGGCAAGCGUUGUUCGGAAUUACUGGGCGUAAAGGGCGCGUAGGCGGCCUGCUAAGUCGAACGUGAAAUCCCUGGGCUCAACCCAGGAACUGCGUUCGAUACUGGUUGGCUUGAAUUCGGGAGAGGGCUGCGGAAUUCCAGGUGUAGCGGUGAAAUGCGUAGAUAUCUGGAAGAACACCGGUGGCGAAGGCGGUCAACUGGCCCUAAACUGACGCUCAGGCACGAAAGCGUGGGGAUCAAACAGGA